rnacentral:rRNA from 1 species
UCCAGACUCCUACGGGAGGCAGCAGUGGGGAAUAUUGCACAAUGGGGGAAACCCUGAUGCAGCAACGCCGCGUGAAGGAAGACGGUUUUCGGAUUGUAAACUUCUGUUCUUAGUGAAGAAGAAUGACGGUAGCUAAGGAGCAAGCCACGGCUAACUACGUGCCAGCAGCCGCGGUAAUACGUAGGUGGCAAGCGUUGUCCGGAAUUACUGGGUGUAAAGGGAGCGUAGGCGGGGAUGCAAGUUGGGUGUCAAAACUACCGGCUCAACUGGUAGUCGCACUCAAAACUGCAGCUCUUGAGUGAAGUAGAGGCAGGCGGAAUUCCUGGUGUAGCGGUGAAAUGCGUAGAUAUUAGGAGGAACACCAGUGGCGAAGGCGGCCUGCUGGGCUUUUACUGACGCUGAGGCUCGAAAGUGUGGGGAGCAAACAGGAUUAGAUACCCCAGUAA